rnacentral:rRNA from 1 species
UGCGAGUGAAGCGGGAAAAGCUCAAAUUUAAAAUCUGGCGGUCUUUGGCCGUCCGAGUUGUAAUCUAGAGAAGUGUUAUCCGCGCUGGACCGUGUACAAGUCUCCUGGAAUGGAGCGUCAUAGAGGGUGAGAAUCCCGUCUUUGACACGGACUGCCAGGGCUUUGUGAUGCGCUCUCAAAGAGUCGAGUUGUUUGGGAAUGCAGCUCAAAAUGGGUGGUAAAUUCCAUCUAAAGCUAAAUAUUGGCGAGAGACCGAUAGCGAACAAGUACCGUGAGGGAAAGAUGAAAAGAACUUUGGAAAGAGAGUUAAACAGUACGUGAAAUUGCUGAAAGGGAAACGCUUGAAGUCAGUCGCAUUGUGUGGGAAUCAACCUUGCUUUUGCUGGGCGUACUUUCCAUAUGAUGGGUCAGCAUCAAUUUUGACCGUUGGAUAAAGUCUAAAGGAAUGUGGCAUCUUCGGAUGUGUUAUAGCCUUUGGUCGCAUACAACGAUUGGGAUUGAGGAACUCAGCACGCCGAAAGGCCGGGUCUUGUACCACGUUCGUGCUUAGGAUGCUGGCAUAAUGGCUUUAAUCGACCCGUCUUGAAACACGGACCAAGGAGUCUAACAUGCCUGCGAGUAUUUGGGUGGAAAACCCGAGUGCGCAAUGAAAGUGAAAGUUGAGAUCCUUGUCAUGGGGAGCAUCGACGCCCGGACCAGACCUUUUGUGACGGAUCUGCGGUAGAGCAUGUAUGUUGGGACCCGAAAGAUGGUGAACUAUGCCUGAAUAGGGUGAAGCCAGAGGAAACUCUGGUGGAGGCUCGUAGC